rnacentral:rRNA from 1 species
CAGUACUCAGGGCGCAGCCUGAUCCAGCCAUUCCGCGUGAGUGAAGAAGGCCUUCGGGUUGUAAAGCUCUUUCGCCCGGAAAGAAAACUUACCGGCUAAUACCCGCUGAGGCUGACGGUACCUUGAUAAGAAGCACCGGCUAACUACGUGCCAGCGCCGCGGUAAUAAA